rnacentral:siRNA from 1 species
UAGAUAUGACUUGAAUUGGAUUGG